rnacentral:rRNA from 1 species
AAUGAACGCUGGCGGCAGGCCUAACACAUGCAAGUCGAACGGAUCCUUCGGGAUUAGUGGCGGACGGGUGAGUAACGCGUGGGAACAUACCCUUUGGUACGGAAUAGCCUCGGGAAACUGGGAGUAAUACCGUAUGUGGUCGAGAGACGAAAGAUUUAUCGCCAAAGGAUUGGCCCGCGUUGGAUUAGGUAGUUGGUGGGGUAAUGGCCUACCAAGCCGACGAUCCAUAGCUGGUUUGAGAGGAUGAUCAGCCACACUGGGACUGAGACACGGCCCAGACUCCUACGGGAGGCAGCAGUGGGGAAUCUUACACAAUGGGGGAAACCCUGAUCUAGCCAUGCCGCGUGAUCGAUGAAGGCCUUAGGGUUGUAAAGAUCUUUCAGGUGGGAAGAUAAUGGCUGUACCACCAGAAGAAGCCCCGGCUAACUCCGUGCCAGCCGCCGCGGUAA